UUUUCUACAACCAAGGAGGUUAAAGAACCUCCUUGCUCCAACUUUUAGGGUAAAUUUUCGUCUUCUGGUUAGCACAAUACUUCAUUUAGAGUGUACAGCAAACCUUCGGAAUGUUUUCACGGUGGAUUUAUGCGGUUCUUUGGAUGUUUGAGGGAGAAAAUGAGCGCUUUCUGACGUCUUGGAUUUUGGACAAGAAACGAAAAUGGCGACUGUCAUGGCGGGAAGGACGGCGGGAAAGACUCGUCCUCAAAAUUUUACAGUUACCUAUGUCCUGAGGGUCAGCCAGCUGUGCAGGUGUUUCAGUCUUGAUGAGAUGACACUUGUGAUGACACCAGGUGAUUAGUACAGAAGUACCAGGUAAGAAAUAUGUGAAUCCUGCAGUACUUAAUGGUGUUAUUUGUGACAAAUGUGUAACUUGUAAUGUCUGUAUGCUUUAGUUAGGUGUCUGCUGACUGCUGCAGUAGUGAGGACUCCUGUCUGAACCAGACAAGACUGGAUUGGACCAGAUGAUUUGAAGACCCAAGAGGAAUAUCAGUUAGGUGUCUGCUGACUGCUGCAGUAGUGAGGACUCCUGUCUGAACCUGACAAGACUGGAUUGGACCAGACCAGACCAGGGGAUUUGAAGACCCAAGAGCAAGACAACAGCAUCCGCAGGUGAGUGCUGAGGAUCAGCACACCUGCGGACUGGAAGAGAAAGAUUGAAGAGAAAAGUUUUUACAGGUGUGCUGCGAGGGUCAUCAGCACUGAUGUCCUGAUGGGGAGAAACCUGUGAUGACCGGUGACUUGUCCAAACCAGACCAGAUGAGGGCCCAGAAAACCAUUUUAUACAGGACUCCCAGGCAUGGUCAUGCAAGCAGAGGUAGACCACGCAAAACAUGUACAACAAAUCUGUGAUGAUUCUGGCUGCUCGGCUGAAGAACUGCCGAAGGCUAUGGAGGAUAGGGAACGAUGGAGGAAGAGAGUCAUGGCCAUCCGUGCAACCAGCACGCCUGGAUGAUGAUGUUUUCAAGGCUUGAGUCCCGGAGACUGGAAGAAGGUGACUUUUAUCAAGUUGAACAGCUGUGAAAGA